ensembl:lncRNA
CACCUGCCAAUGCAGGAGACAUGGUUUGAUCCCUGGUCUGGGAGGAUCCCACACGUGGCAGAGCAACUAGCCUGUGUACCACAACUAUUAAGCCUGUGCUCUAAAGCCUGGGAGCCACAACUACUGAAGCUCCUGGGCCAAGAGCCUGUGUCCCACAAGAGAAGCCACCACAAUGAGAAGAAGCCACCACAAUGAGAAGCCACCACCGCAACCAGAGAGUGGCCCCCACUUGCUGCAACUAGGAAAAGCCCAAGCAGCAACAAAGACAUAUCACAGCCAAAAAUAAACCACAGUUCUAAGGGAUGUGCAUCUGAGAAGCAGAUGAUGGACUUCCCUGGUGGUCCAGUGGGAGGGAAAAGGACUAAGUUAUCAAGUAGCGCCAGGCUGGGAACAGCUCUACUUUUAGGUACAUCAUAAAUUUUCAAAACAGUGAGCUGCUGUCCCACCUACAGAUGAGGACAUGGAGGCUCAGAAAGGCUACCAGCGGGUCACGUUGGAGGCUCUGGAUGGGCGG